rnacentral:lncRNA from 1 species
UGUGUAAUGGUCACAAUUAUUCAAAAUUCCUAAGCAGGUAGGGAUUUUACAGGAAAGGAUAUAAAGAAAUACGAAUUUCUUGAAUUUUGUUAGGCAUCGACUAUGUCUGUAUGUGUUUGUGUGGCUAGGGUGAAGGUUUAAGAUUUAAAAGAUUGAUGGUUGAUGUCUAGCCAAAAGGAUAGUUCUAUUAUAUAGUAGUGUCAGUGUUUACGUGCCUAUUUUUUUUAAUGAAGGAUCGUCAAUAUGUACUAUUAAUUAAGUUAAACGUAUAUAUCAAUCAGAACGGAAUAGAUAUGAUAAUACCAAACAGGGUGUACGCUGAUCUACGCUGGGCAAUGCAU